ACGAACGCUGGCGGCAGGCUUAACCCAUGCAAGUCGAGCGCCCCGCACGGGGAGCGGCAGACGGGUGAGUAACGCGUGGGAACGUACCUUUUGGUUCGGAACAACUCCGGGAAACUGGAGCUAAUACCGGAUAAGCCCUAACGGGGAAAGAUUUAUCGCCGAAAGAUCGGCCCGCGUCUGAUUAGCUAGUUGGUGAGGUAACGGCUCACCAAGGCGACGAUCAGUAGCUGGUCUGAGAGGAUGAUCAGCCACACUGGGACUGAGACACGGCCCAGACUCCUACGGGAGGCAGCAGUGGGGAAUAUUGGACAAUGGGCGCAAGCCUGAUCCAGCCAUGCCGCGUGAGUGAUGAAGGCCUUAGGGUUGUAAAGCUCUUUUGUCCGGGAAGAUAAUGACUGUACCGGAAGAAUAAGCCCCGGCUAACUUCGUG
rnacentral:rRNA from 1 species